GGCAGACAGAGGCAAAACUGCCAGGGAUGGGUGGGUUGCCUGCCUGUGCUCUGAAAAGAAUGUAUACUCAUUUAUUGAUUCUGGUAGAGGACUGGUUCAACCUCCUUGUCCCCCUCAGCUCAAAGCUCCCUGUCAUGCCACCACUACAGAGACUGAGUGAGUGAGCAAGCAAGUAAGCAGGCAGAGGCAAUCAUUUGCAUUUAUUCUUUCUGGUUGCUUGGCAGGACCUGCAAUAGCAAACCUUCCUCACCAAGUGGUUGGAGGAAGUUGCUGUGCUGUUGUUUUUGCAGGAGCCGUUUUGCCCUCAUGAUGUUAUGGUGGAGAGGGUUGAAUGUGUGGCUUGUUUGCAUCCCUGUGCAAGGAAGGUAAAUUGGGUAUGGGUGGGAGGAAUAGGCUUUCCUCCCCAAUGUGCUCCUGUUAGUGCAAAAAGUUGCCCUCCACCACACACUUGGUAGCCAAAUGGGCAUGCGAGGUUCUUACUAUGUGUAAAAGUGAAGCACAAUUGUCUCUUUUUCAAAAAAUAGAGCAUAGAUGAUGGCUGGCUGUGGAUAAUAAGAUCAGAAAACAAUUGCAUAUAAAAUAAUUUUAAACUUAAUGUUUAAUGUAUUUGUAUAGUUCCUUUCCUUUACAAAAUAGUGUUUUGUGACUGACAGCAAAGGAAAUUGUGCCUGAAAGCUCUCCAGUUACCAUUGUGAGUGUGUGUUUUUCCAAUUCAUUCUGUUUGGCAGGUUUUAAGAUGCACAGUUUAGGGUAGCAUGAAAAAUGUCCUGAAAGUAAAUUUGGCUGCAUUUCCCACGUUCAUUAUUUGCAAGGUGCCCUGCUAAAGGCAGACGGAAGAAAUAAAGAUAAAUUGUACUGGGAUUGUGGCCUUUAUCCAGCAAUUUUCAUUCAUUCAUUCAUUCUGCAUAAAGUGAUUAGUAAAGGCAAGAUAUUGUUCUGCCUAGGAAUUAAUAUUGCCUAGAGAAGUGUUUCGCAUUUGAAGAAUUGUAUUUGUUGUUCUGUCUGGCCUUCUUCAUGGUGGCACCCUGGUUUUGGACCUCCAUGCUCCUUGAUACUCAUCUGGCUCCUCUGUUGAAGCUCUUUUGUUGCCAGCUAAAAACACAGAUGAUUCAGUCUAGUAUUCAGCCCUUUUUUGAAAUUUACUCAUCUGCGAGGGGUGAUGUAUGAUGUGGUUUUUAUUUAUUGAUCUUUAGAGGUUUUUCUGCUACCCACUCUGCUAUUCCGGCAAGAGGGCAGGAUAUAAAUAAAUAAAAAUAUAAGCUCAUUGCAUACAAGCAGUCUUGUGGCACCUCAGUAAAAUGACGUCUACUUUGAUCACAGACACAGGUGGAGCAACCAGAGAUUUUAAAAAUUAUAUUUCCAUGCAUAUACAGGUUUCGAGUGUUUGUUUGUUUCAUUUAUUAGUGGCUUGCUGUGAAAAAUCCUGAAGCAAUUUAACAAUAAAAAUAUCAACAAUAAAAGUUUAUUUAAAAUACAGACUUGGAUAAAAAUCUUCACUUAAAAGGCUUGUUGGAAAAGGAAAGUCUUCAAUUGGUUCUGGAAAGAUAAUAGAGAUGGCACCUGUUAAAAAAUUAUAUUUCCAUUUCAGUCCUGGUUCUGAAUGACACAAUCUGUUUUGCAAUCUGUAUAUCAAAGCUGAUCAGUGUUGUGAAACAUUUUUGAUAGGCACUUCAUCAAAUGCAGAUUGCUGUUACUUCAUUGGUGGAAAAAUACCUGCUUAAAUGCAGAUGCCCGUAAUCUGAUGUGCCUUAUAGAGAAAUAGCUUGUUUGGUUUUCAACGGGUUGUCAAGAUCGUUUAUUUUGCAUAUAGAACUAAAGGUUCUUGGUUUUAAAAGGGUUUUGUGUAUGGGUGUUCAAUCACAUUCUCACACAAGUUGGUUGAAUUGUAUGAAUACUUCUCAGGGUGGCAGUUUCUUUGCUUGAAGUUUUAAACUAAAAUUAUAUCCGAUAAAAUAAUGUAGUGUCAAGAUAGUUUUGCUAAAUGAAUUUCGUAUAGCAGGAUCUAUCCUAUUAUGCUGGGCAAUAUCUGACCUUGGAGGUACUUUGCAAAAGAACACACUAAAACUUAAGGAUAAAACUUUUAUGUUUUAAUAAAUGCAGAAUAUUUGAACAGUAACAAAACAGAAGAGGAAUGGAAGAUGGAAGUCAUAUUUCAUUCUCUGUGCUUACAUUUUUCUUAGAGACUUUGCCCUUGAAAACAAAGCAUAUCAUGUUUUAAAUCAAAAUAAUUUUUUACCUACAUGCUAGGAAUAGAGAAUGCUACAGAUCGUUCCACCCCUGACAUUUCUAAAAGGUUGGGCGGUAAGAUUAAGUUGGUAGUCAAGGUUGGAUUUAAAUGGUGGGUUUGGGCUCCGGUUUCCUCCUCUCACUGCAUGUCUAUCAAAGUUCUCUCCCUUUUUUUAAGAUACACUUUAAAUGGCCAGUGCUAAAAUGUAUUCCAAGACCAGGCAUGACUGUCAAGGUAAGGUGUUCUAGCCAGUCCAGUUUUCAGAAUUAUUCUGUAAAUUCUUGCAAAACGUCUGCAUCUCUCCAAUUAGGUGCUGAGCAGUUUCUGCUAGAGUUCAGUGAUAGGGGAAGCCUGCUGAGAGGUUAUACAAGUUAAUCUUUCAGAGGAAAUCCAAUCCCCAUAUUUUAUUUUAAGGCCACUCUGCGUAGCAAAGUAGUUUAACAAGUAGCAGAUUUUUUACUUGCUGAUAGUUAAUUUCAUGCCCUACAAAGGGUCAGCGCACUAAUACAGGAGAACAUGAUUACUUCACCUUACCCUUUCUUCCCUCUUGCCCCCCACACACAGAGCACUGCCUGCUGAACUGUUUGUUUUAGGUUAAACUGUUUUUAAGAUGCCCGUUGUUUUUGCUGACUUUGUAUUAACCGAGAGAGCUUCUGCAAGAGCAGAUCAAGAAUAUAUAUUGCCUUUUGUUCUUCAUGGAAGUGUGAAUUCCAGAAUAGACUUGCAGUGUUUUAAUUCGAAAGCUCCUGCUUGAUCCAGAUUGUCUAAACCUGUGGGAGGAACGGAGACGAACUUGUAGUUUUGUAAUUCCUUACACUUGUCUGAACCUUUGACCUUUUUACUUUUGACCGGAGCUUCAUUGUCACCAUUUGUCCCUGCAGCUCGUUUCAAAGACGGCUGCCUACAAGUGUCUGUUUCCACUUUGCUGCUGUGUUCUUUUAAGGAAGGGUAUUAAUUCAUACCUGAUACAUUGAAGGGCCAAGACUUUUGAACUCCUGCAAGGGCUGGUGGGGAGGAGGAGAAGCUGAAUACAGCAAAAGUGGGUUUUGCUGAUGCAAAUAACUACUGUUAAAGUCAUGGAAGAUCAAGAAAAUUGUGGAGUUAUUACUACUGCCUCAAUUGUUUUCCUCUUAUUUAGAUUAUUUGUAAGAUUACCAUAGUAGCCUUCCUGGUUUUAUCUAAAUACUUGCGUUCAGCCUAUCGAACUGCCCUACCUAAUCAAAUCAUUAUUGGCCUACAUAUCCAGUCAUCUAUCAUUAGGGUGUUAGAAAUGAUGGAACCGUCCCCCCCUCACUCCUACAGAGAAGGGCAACAGCUGAUUGAAGAUCUCGUUCUUGUUCUGUAGUUAGCAUCAUGAUGAAAAUGGCCCAUCUUAGGCUCCUUUCUUUGCAUUUUCAGCAUAGACUAAAUUUCUACAGGCUACUGGAACUCUAAAAUUUGUCUCAUGGAGAAGGACCAUAGCUCAGUGAUGGAGCAUCUGCCUUGCGGCCUUGCAUGCAAAAGGAUCAGAGCUGGGAAGAGCUACCACCUGAAACCCUGGAGAACAACAGCCAAUCAGAAAAGACAGUACUAUGCUAGAUAGAUCAAUGGUCCAAAUCAGUAGAAGGCAGCAUAUCUAUUGUCAUCUGUGGAAAACAUCUGCAUCAAGAAAUGGGCUAGCAAAAUAUUACCUUUGAAAACAAAAUGGGAAAAAAUCAUUUUAAAAAGGUCUGAAAUUCUGCUAAUGUGCCAUGUGACAUUUUCAAGGGAUUUAUUUGAAACGAGCUCAGUGUGCUUCUGAUUGUAGGCAGUUCUAUGUAGAGAACUCUGUAAUAAACAUGUGCAUUCCUCUGUAGGACCAAACUAGUUGUUAGGCAGCAAACACAAUACUUAAACAUGGAGUCACUGUUUCUUUCCUGAAAAACAGUGUACUGUAUAAGGAGUGUGAUUUUUCAGGUGAGUGAUGGCAUGUGUCCUUAAUUCCCCGUGCCUUCUGCUUUUGCCUUCCAUGUACCCCUUUCCCAAAUUGAUUUGUUCUCAAUUCUUCUAAAAUUGGGGAGACUGCAGAGGGAAUGUGAGAGGCAAGGAAGUGGUCAAGCACCCUACUUGCCAAUUUUCUCUAUGGAAAUCAUAACCCACUCCAGCUCGUGUUUUCUGCCAGUCACUUAGUUCAGUCCUUUUUGCAAUGAAACACCUCUUCAAGAGUGCAGUCCUAAAUGCAUUUACAGGGGAGAAAGCCCCAGUGAAUGAACAGCAAUGAAACCUAUUUCUGAGUAAUCACACAUAGGCUUGCUCUACUCUGUUGCAAUCUUGUGCAGACACACUUUUGAGUAAGCAGGAUGUAAGAUGCAUUUCCCAUUUAUCAACACUGUGGUUGGGCCAGAGUUUCUGCUUUGCGUUUUGUCUGUUUUUAACUUGUAAUACAUGUUCCUUAAUGCCUAAAACAAAAAUGGAUGAAUAUAUAGAAAUCUACUGUUGGCGUUACGCAUUUACCUUUAAAAAGCAUACAAAAUCCCUCUGCUCAAUAUGCUAGUGCACAAGAGGGCAGUGUUUGCUUGCAAAGUAGGAUCUUUAGGAUAGAUGUGUAGGGUAACAGGUCACUGAAUUAGAAUUGGGAGAAAAUAAAAUGAAGGGCUGCAUAGCUUGAAGUUCAAACUUGAAUUCCGGUUCUCCUUUUCAGUACCCCCCCCCCUUGAUUUAAAACAAAAAGUGGAGGACACUCUGUCUGAUUAAUUUCCUCCUUAAAGUAUCCUGUUAACCUUGUCUGGAGUCCAGGCACCUAUCAUUUCAUGGGAGAAAGAGUCUUGUCUUAUGCUUCAUUAUGUAAAUACUAGGUAGUGUGACUACUAAGUCAUUUCUAAGUCUACUAAGUCACACUCAGAGAAGACUAAUUGAAAUCAGUCAACCUAAGGUAGUCAUUACUAACUUAAUUCCAUUGAUUUGAAUAUGUCCAUUCUGAAUAUGACAUAGUAGUUUGAUACCACCCAUCACUGUUGUAGUGCAAAAUAUUUGUUAGUUAAGAAAAUAAAUUGGCUGCUCUUCUUUCACUUGCAGAUAAGGGGGUCAAGUUUUAAUAUAUGUAAUCUUCUUCUUUGGUGAUCACUCGUAACCAAGUAAGAUUGUCUUCCAUAAACAUGAUUUUAACAAUGGGUCCGUAAGUGACUGUGGAGGCCAGUUCUGGACCCACACGUCCUUCCACAGUGGGGACAUUGGUUCCUGGGCGGGAGUUGAUCAUGGUGUGGAUUUGCCAAGCGUGCCUUCCUCUUAGCACGUUUCUCCCUUGUCUCCUGAGUUCGAGUGUCUUCAAAGGCUGUUCUCCAACUGGAGCGCUCAGUUGUUGGUGUUUAUACUACAUUUUAAAAGAUUUGUCUUGAGACAGUCUUUAAACCUCUUUUGUUGACCACCAGCAUUACGCUUUCCAUUUUAAAGUUCGGAAUAGAGUAGUUGCUUUGGAAGAUGAUCAUCAGGCAUCUGCACAACAUCACCAGUCCAAUGAAGUUGAUGUUGAAGAAUCAUUGCUUCAACACUGGUGAUCUUUGCUUCUUCCAGUACACUGAUAUUAGUUCACUUGUCUUCCCAAGUGAUGUGUAAAAAUUUUCAGGGACACCGUUGAUGGAAUCUUUCAAGAAGUUGAAGAUGGCGUUUGUAAGUGGGCCAUGUUUCACAAGCAUACAGUAAGGUUGGUAGUGCAAUAGCUUUGUAAACAAGCAUUUUGGUUUCCCUGCGAAUGUCCUGGACCUCAAACACUCUCCACUUCAAUCGGGAGAAUGCCACACUCGCAGAGCUGAGGCAAUGCUGGAUUUCGGCAUCGAUGUUGACCCUUGUGGAAAGGUAACUGCCUAGGUAGGAGAAGUGAUUGACAUUUUCCAACAUUACACCAUUGAGUUGGAUUUGUGGUGCUGCAGAGGGGUUAUUUUGCAGCGUUUAGUACUGUUGCAUGCAUUGAUGUGUUAGGGAACAUCCCCUUAUAGUCAUACUAGAAAUAAACAAAAGAGAGAUAAUUAAACACCGUAACUCCCAAUUGUCUUCUGACUCUCCGCUUCCCCUCAUAUUGCGUUUUUGGUUCUAAGGCCUUCAAGUAAGCUCGGAGCAGCAGAAUUUAGGAGUGGCAUGGUGGCUGUAGUGUAAAAUAUCCUUGGACUUUUUACAUGUUAAAACCAUGAGGGAAAAGGGGGGGGGGGAGAAAACUGGAAGAUAUAUAAAUUCACAAGUAGUAAUGGCCCCACUCUAUGCAGUUUAAGAAGGAUAUUGAUGCACUGAGACCCAUCCAGAGGAGGACAACAAAAGGGAUGAGAGGUUAGGAGAUCAAAUCCUUUGAGGAAAUAUUGAAGGAGUUCUGUACGUUUAUCCUGGAAAAGCGAUGAUUGGGAGGUGACAUGAUAACCAUCUUCAAAUACAUAAACAGCUUUGAGGAUCUUUCUUACAAUCAAGUGGUAUAUCUGUUUUAUGAAAUGAAUAAAAUAAAUAUGUGAAGGACUGCCAUAUGAAUCAAAUUUGUUUUCUCUUGCUUCUCCAGGGCGUAAGACGCAAACCAGUGGUUUCAAAAUACAAGAAAGGGUUUUUAAAUAGUUAUUUAUUUUCACUACCUGUGUGCUGCCUCAUAACACAAAUCUUUCUGGAUAGCUAAUAAUAAUAAUAAUAAUAAUAAUAAUAAUAAUAAUAAUAAUAAUAAUAAUAUAAAACAACUUAAUGAAUCUAGGGUAAGCAGAAAUUUCUCCCCUGGUGCUGAAAAGACCAUACUAUGUUGUCAGACACUCAUCUAGAGUAUGGCCUCUGAAGCUGAUCUUAAUAUUUGGGUAGGUAAAUAUGGGGAAGGCCAAACUAUGGGAAGAACUUCCUGAUGGUAUGGGUUU